UUUACUCAAAUUUGUAUGGAGUUGGAACAGCGCCCCUAGCGGCAAACAUAGGCAAACGUUCCUACUCCAUACAAAUUUGAGUAA
rnacentral:pre_miRNA from 1 species